GCAGAAGACUUGUCUCUUGGCGAGGGACGGGCGCCGCUGACCCAGCACGUCCAGGACCAGUCCGUCGGCGGCCCCCACGCGGGUCCUGGGCUCCAGCUCUUCGCCGGGGGGCGCCUCCUGCUGUUCAUCCCCUCCCUCUUUUCGAUCCCCAGCUUCCUCCUCUUCCUCCUCCAGCUCCAACUGCAGUGGCAAGGUCUGGGGAUUGAGAGGCCCGGCAUGACUAAGAGAUAUCGUGAAAUUACAACUCAACAAUGAAUUACAGCACAGGCUUUUCACAACUAAGAGACUGUCCAUCAUGGUGCCAGUUUUUCUCAAAAUGGCAUGUGUGCAUGAAAUUCUACAGGCAUAUGGGGUCGUGAUCUGCUAAUCUCCAGUUAUUAUAACUCCUUCCUGUUGCCUUGUGAAGAAGGCUCCUGCUUCCCCUUCACCUUCUGCGCGAUUGUAAGUUUCCUGAGGCCUCCUAGCCAUGCUUCUUGUUCACUCUGCGGAACUGUCCUGAGCUGAAAAGAAUAUGAGAAAUCGGAUUUUACGACAUACCAAAUUAUGAUUGUAUGUCCCAGAAAUUCACUUAGAAGCUAAUAGAAAAAAUGAAACCAAAGCCUUUUGAGAGUUGAAAAUUUAUCAUGACAUAUGCUGGCUGCACAGUCAAAACUUAUCACUGCCCACGACUUCGGAAGCAUGACAGGAGAGCUGUGGGAGCCACUUCCUCGUCAGACGUGGUUUGAUAUGUCAAGUGAGAACCUGAGUAAAGCAAAGAGGUGAACUAUGACUUGGAAUCCUCCAGGCUUUGGCUUCCAUCACACUCCAUGAACUUGAUGCACAUAAUUUAAUAAACUGCUGAUGCUGACCUGUGCCUCAAGAGGCUUGCCUGUUUGGGGGAGAAGCCUGAUGUGGAGACCAUUGGAAGAGGCUAAGGCAAGCUACCUGUUCCUUAAACAGAUUGUUCAACCUAUUCCAGUUUUUGGUCCUCUACCUCACACAUUCCUUCCACUUCCAAAUCCUGUUGUUAGAGGAUGUUACCUGCCAAAUUUGUACUUUGGAAUCCUCCUCUGCAUGUUCAUAAGUUUUUGGGUUUUCCUUUCUGCUCACUUGCCAAUCCUCUAUCUACUUUCAAUCUUCUAAAAAUUGCUGAAACUUCUUGUCUCACUGUUAAUUCUUUAACAUCAAUUUGUUGGUAUUUUAGGAUAAAAUAUAAGUAAGUGUAUAUCUUCAACCAGCUAUCAUUAAAUGGAAAAUUUCUGGUAUUAUUUUAUACUUUCAUCUAUUUUCCUGUAGACAUUUAAACAAGAAGUCUCUGUGUGUAUGUGCACAUAUUCAAUGUUUUAACUACAAAAUAUAAAUUUCUUCUUGUAAAACAGACAACAUAAGGGUUUUCUUGAAGUCCCCUUUUAAAUAUAACAGGAAUUCCUCAGUGUGAUCUGUGCCAUGUAUAUCAGCAGGUUAUUUAAUUCCUGUAUGCUUUGUAAUUUUCAGCUCAAAAUUAUGACUUUUGACACAAACCACAAGUCUCAAUGUCACAAAAUAAGGUAGAAAACCACAAACAAGCUGGGCAUGGUGGCUCAUGCCAUAUAAUCCCAGCACUUUGGGGGGGCCGAGGCAGGCGGAUCACAAGGUCAGGAGAUCAAGACCAUCCUGGCUAACAUGGUGAAACCCCGUCUCUACUAAAUAUACAAAAAGUUAGCUGGGCGUGGUGCCACAUGCCUGUAGUCCCAGCUACUCCGAAGGCUGAGGCAGGAGAAUCGCUUGAACCCGGGAGGCGGAGGUUUCAGUAAGCCGAAAUCGUGCCACUACCCUCCAGCCUGGGCAAAAGAGCGA
ensembl:lncRNA RNF217-AS1 RNF217 antisense RNA 1 (head to head)